AUGCAAGUCGAGCGGACCGACGGGAGCUUGCUCCCUUAGGUCAGCGGCGGACGGGUGAGUAACACGUGGGUAACCUGCCUGUAAGACUGGGAUAACUCCGGGAAACCGGGGCUAAUACCGGAUGCUUGAUUGAACCGCAUGGUUCAAUCAUAAAAGGCGGCUUCGGCUGCCGUUUACAGAUGGACCCGCGGCGCAUUAGCUAGUUGGUGAGGUAACGGCUCACCAAGGCGACGAUGCGUAGCCGACCUGAGAGGGUGAUCGGCCACACUGGGACUGAGACACGGCCCAGACUCCUACGGGAGGCAGCAGUAGGGAAUCUUCCGCAAUGGACGAAAGUCUGACGGAGCAACGCCGCGUGAGUGAUGAAGGUUUUCGGAUCGUAAAGCUCUGUUGUUAGGGAAGAACAAGUACCGUUCGAAUAGGGCGGUACCUUGACGGUACCUAACCAGAAAGCCACGGCUAACUACGUGCCAGCAGCCGCGGUAAUACGUAGGUGGCAAGCGUUGUCCGGAAUUAUUGGGCGUAAAGCGCGCGCAGGCGGUUUCUUAAGUCUGAUGUGAAAGCCCCCGGCUCAACCGGGGAGGGUCAUUGGAAACUGGGGAACUUGAGUGCAGAAGAGGAGAGUGGAAUUCCACGUGUAGCGGUGAAAUGCGUAGAGAUGUGGAGGAACACCAGUGGCGAAGGCGACUCUCUGGUCUGUAACUGACGCUGAGGCGCGAAAGCGUGGGGAGCGAACAGGAUUAGAUACCCUGGUAGUCCACGCCGUAAACGAUGAGUGCUAAGUGUUAGAGGGUUUCCGCCCUUUAGUGCUGCAGCAAACGCAUUAAGCACUCCGCCUGGGGAGUACGGUCGCAAGACUGAAACUCAAAGGAAUUGACGGGGGCCCGCACAAGCGGUGGAGCAUGUGGUUUAAUUCGAAGCAACGCGAAGAACCCUUACCAGGUCUUGACAUCCUCUGAC
rnacentral:rRNA from 1 species